UACAGAGGUCCCAAGCGUUGUUCGGAUUCACUGGGCGUAAAGGGUGCGUAGGCGGUUGGGUAAGUCUGUCGUGAAAUCCCCGAGCCUAACUCGGAAACUGCGUCGGAUACUAUUCAACUCGAGGAAUGGAGGGGAGACUGGAAUUCUCGGUGUAGCAGUGAAAUGCGUAGAUAUCGAGAGGAACACCAGUGGCGAAGGCGAGUCUCUGGACAUUUCCUGACGCUGAGGCACGAAAGCCAGGGGAGCAAACGGG
rnacentral:rRNA from 1 species